UACAGAGGGUGCAAGCGUUGUUCGGAUUUAUUGGGCGUAAAGAGCGUGUAGGCGGCCUGAAAGGUCAGCUGUGAAAACUCGAGGCUCAACCUCGAGACGUCGGUUGAAACCAUCUGGCUAGAGUCCGGAAGAGGAGUGUGGAAUUCCCGGUGUAGCGGUGAAAUGCGCAGAUAUCGGAAGGAACAUCAGUGGCGAAGGCGACUUUCUGGACAAAUACUGACACUGAGGCACGAAAGCAUGGGGAGCAAACAGG
rnacentral:rRNA from 1 species